CCUCGUCCAUAUUUGAUUACGCUUUUCGCAUUCACGCAGUCACCGCCAUAUGCACGCUCCCGAAUUUUCCUUGAUCUGUUCGUUGAAAAUUGACCCCGAAAACGAACGAUCAUGUCAAAUUUUUCGUCCAUCGGCUUGCCGUUUGACGUUGGAGGCAAUCUGCAUAUACUGGUUGAUGCCAGGCUGUUGGUCCAACUGAUAUUGUGCUUCCGUUCGUGUUCGAUUCGUUGGAUGACUAGAAGUCGUGAUCAUUGGAUGGUGUUGUCGGUUCAGGACUAUGGGUCUUGUCUGAAAAUGAAACUAAUCAAUCUAAGUAACGCCCCGGCUGCGCAUGACAUUCUGAUUACCAGUUAUGAUCUUGAGAGCAUGUGGUAAGCCUUGUAGGCGACCAUAGUCUUAUUAGUUUCUGCCGUUUAUGAGCAGUCCCGAUUUUUUUUAGUCAGAGUACAGUUUGCUAAUGCUUGCCAAUUAGUUAACUAGUGAAUGAUUACCUGCAGACUUGGCAAGUGCCUUGGGAAA